rnacentral:rRNA from 1 species
CCUACGGGUGGCAGCAGUGGGGAAUAUUGGACAAUGGGGGGAACCCUGAUCCAGCCAUGCCGCGUGUGUGAAGAAGGCCCUCGGGUUGUAAAGCACUUUCAGCGAGGAAGAACGCCUGGUGGUUAAUACCCAUCAGGAAAGACAUCACUCACAGAAGAAGCACCGGCUAACUCCGUGCCAGCAGCCGCGGUAAUACGGAGGGUGCGAGCGUUAAUCGGAAUUACUGGGCGUAAAGCGCGCGUAGGUGGCUUGAUAAGCCGGUUGUGAAAGCCCCGGGCUCAACCUGGGAACGGCAUCCGGAACUGUCAAGCUAGAGUGCAGGAGAGGAAGGUAGAAUUCCCGGUGUAGCGGUGAAAUGCGUAGAGAUCGGGAGGAAUACCAGUGGCGAAGGCGGCCUUCUGGACUGACACUGACACUGAGGUGCGAAAGCGUGGGUAGCAAACAGGAUUAGAUACCCUGGUAGUC